CCCUUAGAUGUUCUGGGCCGCACGCGCGCUACACUGAUGCAUUCAACGAGCCUAUCCUUGACCGACAGGUCCGGGUAAUCUUUGAAUCUGCAUCGUGACGGGGAUAGAUUAUUGGAAUUAUUAAUCUUCAACGAGGAAUGCCUAGUAGGCGCAAGUCAUCAGCUUGCGUCGAUUACGUCCCUGCCCUUUGUACACACCGCCCGUCGCUCCUACCGAUUGGGUGUGCUGGUGAAAUGUUCGGAUCGGCCGUUUGUCGCGGUUUCCGCGGCUCGUGGCUGAGAAGUUCAUUAAACCCUCCCACCUAGAGGAAGGAGAAGUCGUAACA
rnacentral:rRNA from 1 species